rnacentral:rRNA from 1 species
GCACAAGCGGUGGAGCAUGUGGUUAAUUCGAAGCAACGCGAAGAACCUUACCUGGGCUUGACAUGGCGGUGGUAGCGACCUGAAAGGGGAGCGACCUUCGGGGAGCCGUCACAGGUGCUGCAUGGCUGUCGUCAGCUCGUGUCGUGAGAUGUUCGGUUAAGUCCGGUAACGAGCGCAACCCCCGCCGUUAGUUGCCAGCGGUUCGGCCGGGCACUCUAACGGGACUGCCCGCGAAAGCGGGAGGAAGGAGGGGACGACGUCUGGUCAGCAUGGCCCUUACGGCCUGGGCGACACACGUGCUACAAUGCCCACUACAAAGCGAUGCCACCCGGCAACGGGGAGCUAAUCGCAAAAAGGUGGGCCCAGUUCGGAUUGGGGUCUGCAACCCGACCCCAUGAAGCCGGAAUCGCUAGUAAUCGCGGAUCAGCCAUGCCGCGGUCGAAUACGUUCCCGGGCCUU